rnacentral:rRNA from 1 species
UACGAAGGUCCCAAGCGUUGUUCGGAAUCACUGGGCGUAAAGGGAGCGUAGGCGGCGUGGUAAGUCAGAUGUGAAAUCCCGGGGCUCAACCCCGGAACUGCAUCCGAUACUGCCAUGCUUGAGGGUUGGAGAGGUAGCUGGAAUUCUCGGUGUAGCAGUGAAAUGCGUAGAUAUGCGGAGGAACACCGAUGGCGAAGGCAAUCCCCUGGACCUGUACUGACGCUCAUGCACGAAAGCGUGGGGGAGCAAACGAGG